rnacentral:rRNA from 1 species
GACGAACGCUGGCGGCGUGCCUAAUACAUGCAAGUAGAACGCUGAAGGAGGAGCUUGCUUCUCUGGAUGAGUUGCGAACGGGUGAGUAACGCGUAGGUAACCUGCCUGGUAGCGGGGGAUAACUAUUGGAAACGAUAGCUAAUACCGCAUAAUAUUGACUAUUGCAUGAUAGUCAGUUGAAAGGUGCAACUGCACCACUACCAGAUGGACCUGCGUUGUAUUAGCUAGUUGGUGGGGUAACGGCUCACCAAGGCGACGAUACAUAGCCGACCUGAGAGGGGGAUCGGCCACACUGGGACUGAGACACGGCCCAGACUCCUACGGGAGGCAGCAGUAGGGAAUCUUCGGCAAUGGACGGAAGUCUGACCGAGAAACGCCGCGUGAGUGAAGAAGGUUUUCGGAUCGUAAAGCUCUGUUGUAAGAGAAGAACGAGUGUGAGAGUGGAAAGCUCACACUGUGACGGUAGCUUACCAGAAAGGGACGGCUAACUACGUG